rnacentral:rRNA from 1 species
GACGAACGCUGGCGGCGUGCUUAACACAUGCAAGUCGAACGGAAAGGCCUGCUUUCCCUUGUGGAUUGCGGGUACUCGAGUGGCGAACGGGUGAGUAACACGUGAGUGAUCUGCCCCCAACUUGGGUAUAAGCCUGGGAAACUGGGUCUAAUUCCCGAUAGGACUGCAGGGUGGUGCCUGUGGUGGAAAACGAUUUUCUAGUGGUUGGGGAUGAGCUCGCGGCCUAUCAGCUUGUUGGUGGGGUAAUGGCCUACCAAGGCGGCGACGGGUAGCCGGCCUGGGGGGGUGGACGUGCGCAUGGGGACUGAGAUACUGCCAAGACUCCGACGGGAGGCAGCAGUGGGGAAGAUUGCACAAUGGGCGGAAGCCUGAGGCAGCGACGCCGCGGGGGGGAUGACGGCCUUCGGGUUGUAAACUCCUUUCGACCGCGAGGAAGCCACCUGGUUGGAAGGGUGGUGACGGUAGUGGUAGAAGAAGCACCGGCUAACUACGUG